rnacentral:rRNA from 1 species
AUACGGAGGGUGCAAGCGUUGUUCGGAAUUACUGGGCGUAAAGCGCGUGUAGGCGGCUUCGCAAGUCGGGUGUGAAAUCCCGGGGCCCAACCCCGGAACUGCACCCGAAACUGCGAGGCUAGAGUCCCGGAGAGGAUGGCGGAAUUUCCGGUGUAGAGGUGAAAUUCGUAGAUAUUGGGAAGAACACCGGUGGCGAAGGCGGCCAUCUGGCCCGGAUCUGACGCUGAGGCGCGAAAGCGUGGGGAGCAAACAGGAUUAGAGACCCGUGUAGUCC